rnacentral:rRNA from 1 species
GUCCUGGCAGUAAACGGUGUACGUUUGGUGUGGGAGGAUUCGACCCCUUCCGUGCCGGAGCUAACGCGUUAAACGUACCGCCUGUGAAGUACGGUCGCAAGAUUAAAACUCAAAGAAAUUGACGGGGGCCCGCACAAGCGGUGGAGUAUGUGGCUUAAUUCGAUGCAACGCGAAGAACCUUACCAGGGUUUGACAUGCAUCUCUAAGGCGGUGAAAGCCGCCGAGGGUAGCAAUACCCAAUUUGCACAGGUGCUGCAUGGCUGUCGU